AUACGAAGGGUGCAAGCGUUAAUCGGAAUUACUGGGCGUAAAGCGUGCGUAGGCGGUGAUUUAAGUCUGCUGUGAAAUCCCCGGGCUCAACCUGGGAAUGGCAGUGGAUACUGGAUCGCUAGAGUGUGAUAGAGGAUGGUGGAAUUCCCGGUGUAGAGGUGAAAUGCGUAGAGAUCGGGAGGAACAUCAGUGGCGAAGGCGGCCAUCUGGAUCAACACUGACGCUGAGGCACGAAAGCGUGGGGAGCAAACAGGAUUAGAUACCCUGGUAGUCCACGCCCUAAACGAUGCGAACUGGAUGUUGGUCUCAACUCGGAGAUCAGUGUCGAAGCUAACGCGUUAAGUUCGCCGCCUGGGGAGUACGGUCGCAAGACUGAA
rnacentral:rRNA from 1 species